GGGAAUGUACUGGUUUCGACGGGGUUUUGAAGUAUAGAUAAGCGAGCUGUGCACGGCUACGAAACACAUAAAUCUUUGUGGCACUUAAACACAAACGCAGAUGAAAAUCUAGCAUUCGCUGCCUAGUUCAGCGCGUUCCUCCUAGUCCUCCUGCCGAUUAGGACUGAACGACAACCAUGCAGGGCACUGUGAUUGGGAUUUCCGGACCAUGACUCAGUACAAUUCGGAAUAUACUUUGGAUAAAAUAGUUGGAAAUUUUGUCCCAAGCGAAAAAAAUCCGUUCCAACUACGCUCGUAGAAAGUUUAUAUGGAUGGGUUUCGGACAGGGGUUCGACUCCCCUCAUUUCCACCA
rnacentral:tmRNA from 1 species